rnacentral:rRNA from 1 species
UACGGGGGGGGCAAGCGUUGUUCGGAAUUACUGGGCGUAAAGGGUUCGUAGGUGGCCAACUAAGUCAGACGUGAAAUCCCUCAGCUUAACUGGGGAACUGCGUCUGAUACUGGAUGGCUUGAGUGCAGGAGAGGAAUGCGGAAUUCCAGGUGUAGCGGUGAAAUGCGUAGAUAUCUGGAGGAACACCGGUGGCGAAGGCGGCAUUCUGGACUGUAACUGACACUGAUGAACGAAAGCCAGGGGAGCAAACGGG